rnacentral:lncRNA from 1 species
AUCGAGAUGGGAGUGAUUAGUGAGGGGCGAGUUGAUGAUAACCCUGAGCUUCGAAGUACUGAGCUGAACUGAAGCAAUCUGUUGCAAAAUUUUGAAAGACGAGUCGCUAAGGUUGUUUUGGGAUGCAGACUGCAGGGGUUGGAGAGAAGAGGAUGGAAGGGAGUCCUGAAGAACUGGGGCGAGAUCAUCUUGGUCAAAGAGGGGGUACUUCAGGUAAUUGGCUAGUUGGGUGGCUACUUUGCUUCUUCCAGGGCGUGAGCUCGGUUUUCCUCUCACUACUAUGAUCAUCGGACGACUCGGUUCCUCCUGCAUGUCAAGUCCUGGCUCUGUGUCUCUCUGUCUGUCUAAUUCGCUUUGAAUGUCGGAUUCACACGAUCAUAGCAGCAGUAUCGGAAAGCUGUUCCUACAGUUUACUUGUUUUUUUUAAUCAGUAUAAUUCAAAACUAGUACAUUAAUCUCG